CCUGACCUCAUGAUCCACCCACCUCAGCCUCCCAAAGUGCUGGGAUUACCGGCGCAAGCCACUGCACUGGGCAAGAACCAGUGUUCUUAAGCAAGAAUACCUGUGAACUGAUGCGUUGGCGGGAUUGGCAAGCAAGAUGGGUCAUAGAGGGGCUUGGGUUUCAUCUUAACUGAGAUGAUAAGCCUCUAAAGGAUUUAAGUGGAGGCAUGACAGCAGACAGGCAUUUUGGAUUUCCCUGACUUUGCUGUGAUGAAUGGAGUGCAGGAGAAAAGACUGGGUAAUCAGGCUGCUAUAGUAUCCUAGGCAGGGAAGGGUGGGCUGAACUGAAGCAGCUGCACGAGGGAUGGAAUGCAGUGGAUGGGUGCAAGAAGCCAAGGAUUAACCUGUUGCACAGGUGCUUCCGGCUACAAGUAGAGAGUUUGAAGAAACUGGGUAAACAGGCCCAGGGCUGCAAGAUGGUGAUUUUGUGGCUGGCAGCCCUGCAACCCUGUAGCCCUGAACACAUGGCUGAGCCAGUCACUU
rnacentral:sRNA from 1 species